CAUAUAAGUGGAAUCAUACAGUACUUUCCUUCAGUUGUAACACAUGUAUCACACUAGUGCAGGAUGUGAAUGAUUAAGGAGGGCGUGUUAGGGUGUAGGUAAUUAGUGUACAGAGUCCCCAUUAGAGUAGACCGGCACUUUCUGUACUUUCCGCGACAUAUUUUUUUUCUGUAAAUCUAAAGCUGUUUUUUUUAAAAGGCUGUUAAUUUCUUUUUAAAGGAUAACAGAUGCCAAUCAGGCAAAAACCACAGGUGUCCAUUAUAUGAGUCCUUUGCGGCAGCAGGUGUCCAUUCUAAAAAUAGUUUGCACGUCUGGGGGUGAUUACGGAGACUGGAAGGGAUAAUGAAGGUGUGUGCCCUUUGCAGCCUCAAGUAUCUGAGACCAAGGUCAUUCACGAUGCCUGGGCACACGGUUUCUCUCUCCCUGUGAUGUCGUUCUCGAGACCGCUCCUAUGACUGCUGCUGCGGAGACACGGAGCCAAUCCAGAGCGGACUGCCAGUGACGACACCAGUCGCCAAGGCCUCCAAGGGCCCAGAACAUAGUGGCGCCCUCUGGCGGGGAAAGGGAGGCAGUAUGUGAGAGACAGCCAAUCUGGUCAGCUGACUUCGGCCAAGUUCCAGUGCCUGGUGCAACACCCCCUGGCAACUCAAGUCACUUUCCAUCUCCAGAAACCCGACCAGAAGAGAGACAUGCUGAGAGGAAGCAAAGAUCAAGAAUCCUGGCAUCCAAUCAGAUACAGGAAUUAACGCAACAGCCGUCCAAUCAGAUGAGCGGAUCCAACCAAAUAGAGCAGCGUGAGGCGCGAUAAAAGGCGGGAAAGAGCCUGAGGCGAAGCGUGAGGUGAGACGACCAGGUGGACCAGGGGGACGACCGGGUUGACUGACGGACCCAUGGACGGAGGGGGACCCCCUCUGAGCCGGAAACGCUCUGGCAGAGGAUGUGGCCUCUUAAAAAAUCUUCCUGAGGGACAGAGCCCCAGAGAUGGCCCGACAGAGAAAGGCUAGAGGAAAGUGACGCCCCCUACACACACACACACACACACACACACACACACACACACACACACACACGCGCGACGGUCAAGCCA
rnacentral:lncRNA from 1 species